rnacentral:rRNA from 1 species
AUUGAACGCUGGCGGCAGGCCUAACACAUGCAAGUCGAGCGGAUGAAGGGAGCUUGCUCCUGGAUUCAGCGGCGGACGGGUGAGUAAUGCCUAGGAAUCUGCCUGGUAGUGGGGGAUAACGUCCGGAAACGGGCGCUAAUACCGCAUACGUCCUGAGGGAGAAAGUGGGGGAUCUUCGGACCUCACGCUAUCAGAUGAGCCUAGGUCGGAUUAGCUAGUUGGUGGGGUAAAGGCCUACCAAGGCGACGAUCCGUAACUGGUCUGAGAGGAUGAUCAGUCACACUGGAACUGAGACACGGUCCAGACUCCUACGGGAGGCAGCAGUGGGGAAUAUUGGACGAUGGGCGAAAGCCUGAUCCAGCCAUGCCGCGUGUGUGAAGAAGGUCUUCGGAUUGUAAAGCACUUUAAGUUGGGAGGAAGGGCAGUAAGUUAAUACCUUGCUGUUUUGACGUUACCAACAGAAUAAGCACCAGCUAACUUCGUG